rnacentral:rRNA from 1 species
UACGUAGGAGGCGAGCGUUAUCCGGAUUUAUUGGGCGUAAAGAGCGCGUAGGCGGCCUAUUAAGUCGGUUGUGAAAUCUCUCGGCUUAACUGAGAGGGGUCAACCGAAACUGGUGGGCUUGAGGACAGAAGAGGGAGGUGGAAUUCCCGGUGUAGUGGUGAAAUGCGUAGAUAUCGGGAGGAACACCAGUGGCGAAGGCGGCCUCCUGGGCUGUUCCUGACGCUGAGGCGCGAAAGCGUGGGUAGCAAACAGG